rnacentral:tRNA from 1 species
GCCUGGGUGGCUCAGUCGGUUGAGCAUCUGACUUUGGCUCAAGUCAUGAUAUCACCGCUUGUGGGUUCAAGCCCUGUGUCAGGCU